GGAUGAGAUCAUACCAGCACUAACGCAUUGGAUCCCAUCAGAACUCCGAAGUUAAGCGUGCUUCUGCGAGAGUAGUACUAGGAUGGGUGACCCCCUGGGAAGUCCUCGUGUUGCAUCCC
rnacentral:rRNA from 1 species